rnacentral:tRNA from 1 species
GUUUUAAUAGUUUAAAUAAAACAUUGGUCUUGUAAACCAAAAAUAAAGUUGUCUUUUUAAAACU